GAUGAACGCUGGCGGCGUGCCUAAUACAUGCAAGUCGAGCGAACGGACGAGAAGCUUGCUUUUCUGAUGUUAGCGGCGGACGGGUGAGUAACACGUGGAUAACCUACCUAUAAGACUGGGAUAACUUCGGGAAACCGGAGCUAAUACCGGAUAAUAUUUUGAACCGCAUGGUUCAACAGUGAAAGACGGUCUUGCUGUCACUUAUAGAUGGAUCCGCGCUGCAUUAGCUAGUUGGUAAGGUAACGGCUUACCAAGGCAACGAUGCAUAGCCGACCUGAGAGGAUGAUCGGGCACACUGGAACUGAGACACGGCCCAGACUCCUAAGGGAGGCAGCAGUAGGGAAUCUUCCGCAAUGGGCGAAAGCCUGACGGAGCAAAGCCGCGUGAGUGAUGAAGGUCUUCGGAUUGUAAAACUCUGUUAUUAGGGAAGAACAUAUGUGUAAGUAACUGUGCACAUCUUGACGGUACCUAAUCAGAAAGCCACGGCUAACUACGUG
rnacentral:rRNA from 1 species